rnacentral:tRNA from 2 species
CCAGCCUUGGAGCGGAUUCUGCGGGCUUUUCGGCCCCGACGGCGCGCGCGCUGCCGCGCAGGCCGUGC